AUCUGGAUGUUUAGCCAAGGAUGGCCUGGAACUCUCAGCAAUCUUCUUGCCUCAGCCUCCUGAGCCCUGAGAACCCAGGGAAGAACCCAAGGCUCUGCAAGUGUGAGCUCUGCCCCGGUGCACUUGAAACCUGGAGCAAGUGUCCUGAAAAGCCCCUCGAGACUGUUCUGCCAUUAGCCUCUGCCCGGCUACUGCCCCCAGCCUGGACCCUGGACUGGGAGUACUGGUGACUGCGCUGUGGGAGGUGGUACAGGGUUGACCAUUAUGACAGCAGAGAAGACAGGCGGGUCCUCCUGAGUGUCUGGCAUGGAGUGGUCCCAAAGCUUUCGCUGCAGCUCGGUCUGGAAUCACACGGUCAGUCUCUUGUCAAACAUGCACCGCCCAGCUGCUGUGGCCCAACGUGGAUGAGGAUUAGGACCAGCCUGGGAGGCUUCCAUCCUGAGGGUACCCGACUGUGGGCCCACCUCCCCCACACUGCCCUUUGCCCACCCGAGAAGCCGGUGGAGCCCAGGCCCCUGGCUGUACCAGGACCAAUGCCCUCUCUGACCCACUGAGGACCCAGGCAGAGGACAUCAAGAGCCCUGGGUACCAAGUGGAUGGGGGCCCGAUGCUUCCCUUCCUUGCUGGGAAGGCUUGGGCUCGGUGUCCCAAGGUUCAGGACCCUGGUUUGCUGAGCUGUCCUGACUCAAGUACGGGCAACUUAGCCAAUCAGGGCCCUCCCUGGACAGGACAGGGGUGACAGUGGACCAGAGGCUCAGUCCCAGUGCCCUGGAGGAGACCAGAGCAAGGUUACAGUGAUGGCACAUGGGCUUCUGUGGCGAGGCCACAGCAGUGGAGGCAGCUGGACCUGUGGCUUCUCCCUGGGGAGCUGAAGAGCAGACACCACCACGGCGCCCAGAGGGAGGGGCAUGAGGGCGUUGACUAGGACACACUGUCCUGGGCUCUCACGACAGUGGCCUCUAUGACCACAGCUCCACAGCCACAGGCUCAACCUAACUUGGACCAAAAAUUAUAAAAACAGCAUCUGUACCCAACGAGCAGAGAUUUCCCUGCUGUCAUCACCUGUCAUUAAAUGACAGAGGGACAACUGUUUACACCAUGUUGGAAUUGCGUUGGGAACUGGAUGUCACCCAUGGGUAAUUUGACACAAGAGCUGGACAGAGUGGUGCACAGCUGUGAUCCCAGCACUCAGGAGGCUGAGACAGGAGAAUCACAGAGAGUUUGGGCCCAGCCUGAGCUAUACUUAACCUCAAGGCCUUAAUAAUAUGACAGUAACAAUGAUAGCUGUCUGCUUGAACUCUCAGGGUGCUUUUCCAUAACUCACCCUGCAAUGCUCCUGAAAACCCCACUGCCUUCUUGUCUGGAUGGCGGGCCACACAGCUGGUGGGCCGUCGGGGGGGACCUAAGCCAGGAUGGAGGAAUCACAGGUCUCUCUGGCGGUGAGACGCACCUGGCCCAGCCGAACGGGCGCACAGAUACCUCGACAGUCACCUGCCACCGGGACCCCAUGGAGCCAGGGUCUCUGCAGGCCAUGGCAGCUCGUGUGCCUUCGAGUGCGGAAGCCCUGGGUGGACAGGGCCAGCAGUCUUGGGCUCUGCCUCACCCCAUGGGGAUGCAAGCCCAGCAGGGCCAGGAGCCAGGCUGGGGGGCAGCAGCUGCAGACCCUGGGUGGGGUGGCAGCUGUGAGUUUGAGUCCUGGUUGGGGGGUCCUUUACUGGUCUCUGGGCCCCCAGAGCCUCAGUUUCCUCACCUGUAGAGUGGGGUGCUAGUGUCUACCCUCAGCUGUGCCUGAAGUCUGGGGCGAGGCCGCUUCCUCUGUGCUUAGCACCCAGCCUGAUCCGGGUAAGGAUUGGCCUGAGAUUAGUGGGAGGGGUCCCCCUGUUCACACCCAUCACCCCCCAGGAAGAAUAAAGACCUGCAUACCCCAUGCGCCGUCCCCCCACAGAGUGGCCAUGUGGCCUUUGUGCUGCGACCCUAACACCUUGGACCUUGCUCUCUCGGCCGCAGCUCCAGCCCUCCUAUUGCCCCUCUGAGCAGGGGACAUUUGGUCCCAGGGCCUUUGCACAGCUCCCUUCCUAGAGGACCCCUCUCCCAACCCUCGUGUCCCAGUCCCUCGUCUCCUUGGCCUAGACUCCCAUGCCCACCUGUCCCUGAGCUCUUCCUCCUGUUUAAAUGGCACCGCCCCACCCAGGGUCUUUCCCUCCAGUUUCUCUCAAACUUGCAGUGAUCUUCCUGCCUUGGCCUCCCAAGUCCUGGGAUCACCGGCAUGUGCC